GUAGGUGGCAAGCGUUGUCCGGAAUUAUUGGGCGUAAAGCGCGCGCAGGUGGUUCUUUAAGUCUGAUGUGAAAGCCCCCGGCUCAACCGGGGAGGGUCAAUGGAAACUGGGGAACUUGAGUGCAGGAGAGGAAAGUGGAAUUCCACGUGUAGCGGUGAAAUGCGUAGAUAUGUGGAGGAACACCAGUGGCGAAGGCGACUUUCUGGCCUGUAACUGACACUGAGGCGCGAAAGCGUGGGGAGCAAACAGGGAUUAGAUACCCUGGUAGUCCACGCCGUAAACGAUGAGUGCUAAGUGUUGGGGGGGUUUCCCGCCCCUCAGUGCUGCAGCUAACGCAUUAAGCACUCCGCCUGGGGAGUACGGCCGCAAGACUG
rnacentral:rRNA from 1 species